rnacentral:rRNA from 1 species
UACAGAGACUGCAAGCGUUAUUCGGAUUCACUGGGCGUAAAGGGUGCGCAGGCGGCCGAGUGUGUGAGGCGUGAAAGCCCGGGGCUUAACCCCGGAAUUGCACCUCAAACUACACGGCUAGAGCAUUGGAGAGGGUAGCAGAAUUCACGGUGUAGCAGUGAAAUACGUAGAUAUCGUGAGGAAUACCAGAGGCGAAGGCGGCUACCUGGACAAUUGCUGACGCUCAGGCAUGAAAGCGUGGGGAGCAAACCGG